rnacentral:rRNA from 1 species
CAUGCAAGUCGAGGGGAAACGAUGGGAGGGCUUGCCCUCCCAGGCGUCGACCGGCGCACGGGCGAGUAACACGUAUCCAACCUGCCCUCUUCCGGGGAACAACCUUGCGAAAGUAAGACUAAUGCCCCAUGUGUCCUCAGACGGCAUCAGACGGGGACGAAAGAUUUAUCGGAAGUGGAUGGGGAUGCCCCUGAUUAGGCAGUUGGCGGGGCAACGGCCCACCAAGCCGACGAUCAGUAGGGGUUCUGAGAGGAAGGUCCCCCACAUUGGAACUGAGACACGGUCCAAACUCCUACGGGAGGCAGCAGUGAGGAAUAUUGGUCAAUGGGCGAGAGCCUGAACCAGCCAAGUAGCGUGCAGGAUGACGGCCCUAUGGGUUGUAAACUGCUUUUGCGCGGGGAUAAAGUGCGCCACGUGUGGCGCAUUGCAGGUACCGCGCGAAUAAGGACCGGCUAAUUCCGUGCCAGCAGCCGCGGUAAUACGGAAGGUCCGGGCGUUAUCCGGAUUCAUUGGGUUUAAAGGGAGCGCAGGCCGCCCCUUAAGCGUGUUGUGAAAUGCCGCGGCUCAACCGUGGCACUGCAGCGCGAACUGGGGGGCUUGAGUGCGCGCAGCGCAGGCGGAACUCGUGGUGUAGCGGUGAAAUGCUUAGAUAUCACGAAGAACUCCGAU